rnacentral:lncRNA from 1 species
ACUCUUGUGGAAAACCAUAGCAUUCCAUCGUGCUGGAAAAAAGGAUCUGAUAAUGGAUGUUUCCAAUAAGUGCUCCCGCAACCAAGAGGAAGAUACCCUGUUAAUUGAUUUGGAAAAACCUGCUGUUGAAAAAGUUGAUAAAAAUCCACCAUUGAUCCCUGCACCAAGCACCAUGGUUAAUCCAGACAACAAUCCCUUUGAUGCUGUCGCUGAGCUUACAAAGCAAGACCCAUUUGAAAUGGUUUUGCAAAAAGCAUUCAGUAAAGAUAAAUCAACUAACACCAACAUCGAAGUCCGCUAUGAUCUUGUAUCUUUAGACGAUUCUGAUGAAAAUAACUCUACCUCCAAUGGCGUAACUCCAAAAUAUAGCAAAACCUCAAAUCUAGUCUCAUCAAAUGUUAAUAGUGGCAAUGAUUCAAAAAAUGAUUCUUUUUACUCACCAAUUUUGCCGCAAAACCAACUGCAAGUUACUUGCUAUUCCAAGAACAACGGCAAUUCUCUUGAAUGCUCUGACGGAUUAAGUUCAAAGAAAUCCAGCACAAGUAUAAAUAUCUCAGCUCUGUCAUCGUUGCAUUGUAUUUCACCAAAUUCCAACAACGAGUGUGAAAACUCUGUAUUCCUAGGUGAUUCUUUAAGCUCUGAUCAAAUAUCAAAGAGUACGUCGCCGCUCGAAUACAGAACGUUAUCAAGGAAACACUGAACAAAUCCUUCUCAGGCUUUGAUCAAAAGAAAGAUCUUACAACAAAAGGUAGAAGCACCGCAAAAUCUGUGUCUACCGUUGAUGGUUGGUGCUCUCCUGAUAAAAAUGAAACAAAAGCUGUCUCAGAUUAUUCAAGUAAAUCAUAUGGUUCAUGAAUCAAGGUUUCUUAAAAACAACUGCAAGUUUAACUUCAGAUAAUACUUUCAAUGAAUUUCGGAAACAGUCGCUGAUGAUUUGAAAGCACCUAGUCUCUCUGAAAAAUACAAGGUAUGUUACCUCUGAAUGUUUAUUUUUCUUGUAUGUGUACCUUCUUGGUAUUUUAAAGUAUAUUAGCGGCAUAAGUCCGCAAUCACAUAUCUCGUUUGCGGUGUCUGAAAAUCUCCGCCUCUAUGUUUUUUUUUAAAAGAGAACAAAUUUAUAUCAUUCCUUGAAGUUUAUGCAGAAUUUUCUCUGCACAGAGAAGAAAAAUCACGGCAGUUUUAAAGAAUGGUGUUGAGUAGUUUUCCGUUUAAAAAAUCAAUUAUGACAGGAAGUCUGCGACGUUGCAAAACGAUGUGAUUGCCGACUUACACCGUCAAUAUUUUAUCUUGGGUAGGUAAAGCUUUGAAAAUGUACCUAAUGUUCAUGAAUAAAAAUGUAAUUUUAACAAGUUUCUGCAGAGGAUUAAAUGAACAAAAAAAAAGAAGAAAAUAUGUAUCUUCCAGUAAGUAGGUUUUUCCUCCGCUGAGAUGUGGUGAAAAAAAGAAUACAAAAAAUUCUGCAGACCUGAGUACCCCUCUUUACCUCAUUCUCAUGAGGGUUCCCCCAUUUUACGGAAGCAUGUAAGGAAGUUAUUGUACUUUUGAGGAUUUACUACCCAUCAGUACAUUGGAGAUGUAUCUUCAAAUUAAUCCUAAUUUUCUUAAAAUUUUUCCAGGUCAACAGUUCCCUAUUCCGUCUCCACCUGUAGAAAUCCUGCGCGAGGCAACAAGAUUAAGUCGAUCAUUUUCAGUUGGGUCAACAGACUAUGCAAAUUUAUUAGGUAAGUUUUCAGGAAGUACUUAAAAAGUUGGGAUACUUAUAUUUUUCAGUUUUUCAUUUAAUCAAAUUUUUGCUGAGGAAAUCCCUUUUCAGGUCACUGAAAAAUGCAACCCUGUUUCAGAAGAGAAAAUAUUGCCCCAAAUAUCUCUUGAAAUUCCAAAGAGAAUUGACUGCUGUGUAUACUUUCAUCCGCAUAGAUUAAUUUAUUUUGCGGUUGCAACUGUAACAAGAGAUUUUAUAGCCCAACCAUGCUUGCAAUAUCAUCGCUUUCUGAACUGAAUAUUCUUUCUGUUUGUUUCUGGAGAAAAUCAUCAGUUCUGAAUCAAUCGGCUGCUCUUUCACAUAGUAUUUACAGUGGUUGAUCCUAAUGUCAUCGCAUCCUAUGAAAUUAUUAGCCAGGGCUGGCCGGAACACAUACACCCAGCGACUGCCAAGCUUAAAAGAAAAGGAUAUUUUGCGUUGUCUCUGAUUUUAAAGUGGUGCCCCUUUUCGAUGGUUGUCAACGCUUGACUCACCUUCAGUCAAACAUCUCAUUAGCCUCAGACCAAUAAAAAUUUUUUUUUCAUUUCUGCAACCUUUUUUUAGUCUUUUUUCUUCUUUCCAGUUAAAAACAAUUGUUUUGAGCUAUUCUGAGCUUGGAAAUCCGUUUUUCUCCAAAAUCCUUGCCUGCAUCACUUGGUAUUAAAACGAUUCCUGAACCAUGCAAUAGCCUCAUCGUGAUAUUCGAGUUUUUGGCAUAAUCAUGUACAAAGAAUCUGAAUUGUCAAUGUGAAUUGGAUUUUUACAACACAAAAUAUGUCACAGCACAAACUGUAGGAAAGGCUCUUAUUGACAGUGUGCAUCACACAUUUUAAAGUCCCUCAAAAUCUAUCUGGGUCUUCUCUCUUUUUGAAAAUACUCAGUUUUAUUUUCCUAUUUUAUGUGUUUCUGCCCGCAGAUAACAAUGAGGAUCUUUGUCAAUCAAACCAAAAUGGGAAACACUAGAUUCUGAUUCUGAUGGAGACGGCUCCGAUGACAGUUUCAAAAGCCUAAGACUGAAUAUUCGCCCGGCUAGCA